rnacentral:rRNA from 1 species
GGGUUGUGAGGUUAAGCGACUAAGCGUACACGGUGGAUGCCCUGGCAGUCAGAGGCGAUGAAGGGCGUGCUAAUCUGCGAUAAGCGCCGGUAAGGUGAUAUGAACCGUUAUAACCGGCGAUACCCGAAUGGGGAAACCCAGUGUGAUUCGUCACACUAUCAUUAACUGAAUCCAUAGGUUAAUGAGGCGAACCGGGGGAACUGAAACAUCUAAGUACCCCGAGGAAAAGAAAUCAACCGAGAUUCCCCCAGUAGCGGCGAGCGAACGGGGAGGAGCCCAGAGCCUGAAUCAGCAUGUGUGUUAGUGGAAGCGUCUGGAAAGGCGCGCGAUACAGGGUGACAGCCCCGUACACAAAAGCGCAUGUGCUGUGAGCUCGAUGAGUAGGGCGGGACACGUGGUAUCCUGUCUGAAUAUGGGGGGACCAUCCUCCAAGGCUAAAUACUCCUGACUGACCGAUAGUGAACCAGUACCGUGAGGGAAAGGCGAAAAGAACCCCGGCGAGGGGAGUGAAAAAGAACCUGAAACCGUGUACGUACAAGCAGUGGGAGCACCCUUCGGGGUGUGACUGCGUACCUUUUGUAUAAUGGGUCAGCGACUUAUAUUCUGUAGCAAGGUUAACCGUAUAGGGGAGCCGGAGGGAAACCGAGUCUUAAUUGGGCGUUAAGUUGCAGGGUAUAGACCCGAAACCCGGUGAUCUAGCCAUGGGCAGGUUGAAGGUUGGGUAACACUAACUGGAGGACCGAACCGAC